GUCCAGUGGUGGCUAAUGUUUAUUUUGCUGUAGAGGUUAGUCAGCUUGGUGCUGCAGCCCAAAAAUAUCAAACAGCUACUCAAAAUGCUUCUUCCAAUUUCUCACUUCCAGAGAUGCAAAAUAACUGUAAUAUGUUUGUGGCAUCAGCUCUCCAAUUGGUGAAAACUUUGGAGGUGCCGUUGAUGAAUGAUUUAGGCUAUACGAAGAGAUACGUACGCUGCUUGCAGAUUUCUGAAGUGGUUAAUAGUAUGAAAGACUUGAUUGAUUACAGUCGAGAAA